rnacentral:lncRNA from 1 species
UCUUUAAGCUAAGAAGCUUCCUGGUGAAGAGCUUGGUUCGAUAGCCACAGAGCCCUGUGGACAUUCUAAGGAGAGCCAAACUGACGCUAGCCAUGGUGACAUUUGGCUAGCAUCAGACGCCUGCCACGAACCCAGCACUAUGCCUAUCCCUCCUGGAAGCCUCCUGUAUUUUGAAAACACCAUAUUGGCCACAUUUAUUAAAGAAAAUCAAAAUGAUCAAAGUAUCAUGCCGGAAGUUGUGGAGUGACAGUGACAGACCCCAGAUGCAGCUCAACCCACACUCUUCACCACAUCAAGCACCACUUCCCAAGAGUCCUCCCGUGCUCCUGCCCAACUUGGAGUAGUUGACUGCUAAGGAGAACUAAGAGUAGAACCUUCUGGAACAGAAUCUCCUGACACCAUAUUUAUUCCUCAAUGCUGAGAAGUAAGGGACUGUUACAAGAAAAAAAAGACCAAAAACCAAAAAACCAAAACAUUCUCAGCUUCCUGGGUUGACGUAAAAUGUGUUUACUAUGUUGUCUGUGAACACAAAUCUAGGUAUGUGCUCUUUGUGCACAGAGCGCCUAUUCAGCCAUAAAACUGGAAUAAGUACAAACACUACGACAAAACCAAUAAAACUCAAACUAACA